rnacentral:rRNA from 1 species
ACGAACGCUGGCGGCGUGCCUAAUACAUGCAAGUUGAGCGCUGAAGGUUGGUACUUGUACCAACUGGAUGAGCAGCGAACGGGUGAGUAACGCGUGGGGAAUCUGCCUUUGAGCGGGGGACAACAUUUGGAAACGAAUGCUAAUACCGCAUAAAAACUUUAAACACAAGUUUUAAGUUUGAAAGAUGCAAUUGCAUCACUCAAAGAUGAUCCCGCGUUGUAUUAGCUAGUUGGUGAGGUAAAGGCUCACCAAGGCGAUGAUACAUAGCCGACCUGAGAGGGUGAUCGGCCACAUUGGGACUGAGACACGGCCCAAACUCCUACGGGAGGCAGCAGUAGGGAAUCUUCGGCAAUGGACGAAAGUCUGACCGAGCAACGCCGCGUGAGUGAAGAAGGGUUUCGGAUCGUAAAACUCUGUUGGUAGAGAAGAACGUUGGUGAGAGUGGAAAGCUCAUCAAGUGACGGUAACUACACAGAAAGGGACGGCUAACUACGUG